rnacentral:rRNA from 1 species
CCUACGGGUGGCAGCAGUGGGGAAUAUUGCGCAAUGGGGGCAACCCUGACGCAGCAACGCCGCGUGAUUGAAGAAGGCCUUCGGGUUGUAAAGAUCUUUAAUCGGGGACGAAUUUUGACGGUACCCGAAGAAUAAGCUCCGGCUAACUACGUGCCAGCAGCCGCGGUAAUACGUAGGGAGCAAGCGUUAUCCGGAUUUACUGGGUGUAAAGGGCGGGUAGGCGGGCAUGCAAGCAAGAAGUGAAAUCUGGGGGCUUAACCCCCAAACUGCUUUUGGAACUGCGUGUGUUGAGGGAAGGAGAGGCGAGCGGAAGUUCCAGUGUAGCGGUGAAAAGCGUAGAUAUUGGGAGGAAAACCAGUGGGGAAGGGGGGCUGCGGGA